CCUACGGGAGGCAGCAGUAGGGAAUCUUCCGCAAUGGACGAAAGUCUGACGGAGCAACGCCGCGUGAACGAUGAAGGCCUUCGGGUCGUAAAGUUCUGUUGUUAGGGAAGAACAAGUGCUAGUUGAAUAAGCUGGCACCUUGACGGUACCUAACCAGAAAGCCACGGCUAACUACGUGCCAGCAGCCGCGGUAAUACGUAGGUGGCAAGCGUUUGUCCGGAAUUAUUGGGCGUAAAGCGCGCGCAGGCGGUUUCUUAAGUCUGAUGUGAAAGCCCCCGGCUCAACCGGGGAGGGUCAUUGGAAACUGGGAAACUUGAGUGCAGAAGAGGAAAGUGGAAUUCCAAGUGUAGCGGUGAAAUGCGUAGAGAUUUGGAGGAACACCAGUGGCGAAGGCGACUUUCUGGUCUGUAACUGACGCUGAGGCGCGAAAAGCGUGGGGGAGCAAAACAGGAUUAGGAUACCCUGGCAGUCCACGCUGUAAACGAUGAGUGCUAAGUGUUAGAGGGUUUCCGCCCUUUUAGUGCUGAAGUUAACGCAUUAAGCACUCCGCCUGGGGGAUACGGUCGCAAGACUGAAAACUUAGAAAAGUAGUACGGACGUGAGACGUAGCGAACGACGACAACGACGGGAGGUUAGAGG
rnacentral:rRNA from 1 species